GUACACUCCUACGGGAGGCAGCAGUGGGGAAUAUUGCACAAUGGGCGCAAGCCUGAUGCAGCCAUGCCGCGUGUAUGAAGAAGGCCUUCGGGUUGUAAAGUACUUUCAGCAGGGAGGAAGGCGAUAAGGUUAAUAACCUUGUCGAUUGACGUUACCCGCAGAAGAAGCACCGGCUAACUCCGUGCCAGCAGCCGCGGUAAUACGGAGGGUGCAAGCGUUAAUCGGAAUUACUGGGCGUAAAGCGCACGCAGGCGGUCUGUCAAGUCGGAUGUGAAAUCCCCGGGCUCAACCUGGGAACUGCAUUCGAAACUGGCAGGCUAGAGUCUUGUAGAGGGGGGUAGAAUUCCAGGUGUAGCGGUGAAAUGCGUAGAGAUCUGGAGGAAUACCGGUGGCGAAGGCGGCCCCCUGGACAAAGACUGACGCUCAGGUGCGAAAGCGUGGGGAGCAAACAGGAUUAGAUACCCCAGUAGUCCCAUG
rnacentral:rRNA from 1 species